CGAUGAAAGACGUGGAAGCCUGCGAUAAGGUUCGGGGAGCUGGCAAACAAGCUGUGAUCCGGGCAUUUCUGAAUGGGGAAACCCACCGACUUUCGGGUCGGUAUCUUGCACUGAAUACAUAGGUGUAAGAGGCGAACCGGGGGAACUGAAACAUCUAAGUACCCCGAGGAAAAGAAAUCAACCGAGAUUCCCAAAGUAGUGGCGAGCGAAAUGGGAUGAGCCUGCAUGAUUUAGCACGACGCAUAGUGGAACAGCUUGGAAACGCUGGCCAUAGAGGGUGAUAGCCCCUUACACGAA
rnacentral:rRNA from 1 species